AACGAGACCUUAAACAGCUAAAUAGCCCGCCUUACACUGGCAGUACGCUGACCACUUAGAGGGACUAUCGGCUCAAGCCGAUGGCCAUGUGCCCAAAUAACAGGUCUGUGAUGCCCUUAGAUGUUCUGGGCCGCACGCGCGCUACACUGACGGAGCCAGCGAGUUCACCCUUGACCGGAAGGUACGCGCAAGCUUGUGAAACUC
rnacentral:rRNA from 1 species